CCGGCUAGGUCAACGCCGGAGCUCCGGGAGCUGAUGUGGCCUUGCCACGUCAAUUAAUGAGUCCAGUUGGCUUUUUUCUUUUCUUUUUCAUUUAAAAAAAUUAAGAAACCCAUAACAACAUUAAUUCUUAAAUCCCUAAUUAACAAAAUCUAAUCCCUAAUUAACAAUUCCUUAAAUUACUACUAAAUCUGAACCAGACAAAAUCUCUAAUUUAAAUCCAGAUUCAAUCACUUUAUUAAACCCUUUCAUCAUCCCUUUUCAUCAUUCAUAUGCGUUUUCUCACAACAUUUUCUCACAACAAACCUAAGCACUGGCUCAUGGUAAGUUAUUAGCAAGCUGAUUCAGAAUUCAUUUACAGCCUUGAUUCAGAAUUCUUGAAGUACAUACACUCUUCCAGAAAAACCACCACCCCCAAAAUCACCCAAUAAAACCCAAAAUCAACAACCCAGAAAACUCACCACCACUCCCAAAAUGCAGAUCUGAGGAAGAAGCCACCAAUAGCCACCACACUCUUCUCCCCUCCACGUCACGAUUUCCCCCUUCAUUCGGACCCAUCAACCUCCAUCGAACCUACAGAUCCAAGACCACCGCAACCACCCCCUUUCUAGAGGAUGAAUGUUUUGGAAAUAAUUUAAAUAAAAAGAUUGUGAUGUUUGGAGAAUGAAUGUUCUAGAAAUAAUUUGAAGACGAUGGUGGCAGGAUGUUUGGGGAAAAUGAA
rnacentral:lncRNA from 1 species